rnacentral:rRNA from 1 species
CACCAGGCGCGAAAACUUUGCAAUGCGGGAAACCGUGACAGGGGAACUCCGAGUGCCCGUUAAAUCGGGCUGUCCACCAGUUUAAAUAACUGGUGAAGAAAGGGCCGGGCAAGACCGGUGCCAGCCGCCGCGGUAAUACCGGCGGCUCGAGUGGUGGCCACUAUUACUGGGCUUAAAGCGUUCGUAGCUGGUUUGUUAAGUCUCUGGGGAAAUCUUCCGGCUUAACCGGAAGGCGUCUCAGGGAUACUGGCAGACUAGGGACCGGGAGAGGUGAGGGGUACUCCAGGGGUAGGAGUGAAAUCCUGUAAUCCUUGGGGGACCACCUGUGGCGAAGGCGCCUCACCAGAACGGCUCCGACAGUGAGGGACGAAAGCUGGGGGAGCAAACCGGAUUAGAUACCCGGGUAGUCCCAGCUGUAAACGAUGCGCGUUAGGUGUAUCGGUGACCACGAGUCACCGAGGUGCCGAAGAGAAAUCGUGAAACGUGCCGCCUGGGAAGUACGGUCGCAAGGCUGAAACUUAAAGGAAUUGGCGGGGGAGCAC